rnacentral:misc_RNA from 1 species
AUCAGACUUGCAUUUCUUGCUGGGGCUGGGCUUCAGGCUUUUCAGCAGUUCACGGGCAUCAAUACAGUCAUGUACUAUAGCCCAACCAUUGUUCAAAUGGCUGGCUUUAGUUCUAACCAAUUAGCACUUCUCCUGUCCCUUAUCGUUGCUGCAAUGAAUGCUGCAGGAUCGAUUCUUGGCAUUUACCUUAUUGACCAUUU